ACUUUCGAAGACAAGAAGAAGCCGGAAAGUUUCAAGGCAGAGAGCCGUUCGCCUCAGUCAGCCCUGUCCUACUCUUCAGUCUCAUCUCGCUGGAAUAGUGUUGUCAUGUGUGAAGAUAUACACGAAAUUGAGACUUCUGCUGCACUGUUCGAAGUCUGUAAGAUCAGUGCUGAAUUCAAAAGAAUAACCACAGUUCCCCUGCAAUCCAAGCAACUGUUGCUGAAUUGGCUGAUUUGUACAAGAUGCACCAUUUCUGAGGACUUCUGGCACAGUGGCCUGCACUGUUCAAAGUUUGCAAGAUCAGUGCUGAAUUGAAAAGAAUCACCACAGUCCCACUGCAAUGCCCUGCACUGUUCCAAGUCCACAAGGUCAUGGAUGAAGUUGCCGUAGACGAAGCAAUUGAAGACAUCACUAUUGGAAUCUGCUCUGACAGAAGAUUGGGCAUCCCACCCUUAGGACAUUGUCAGUUUUAGUGUAUGUCUGUCACACACGUGACACCCAAUCGGAAAGGACUCUUUUUUUUCAGCAACUAAAAAACAGCAGUUAUUUUUGUUUCUUUAAGUGAAAUGUACCUUUUUUCUAGAGAUCAAUUUGCUUGUAUGCACUUCCAGCUCCUUGCUGGUUUAAGAAUAGUACUUGAGUGUGCAUAUGUUUUGUACAUACUGUGUUGAUUUUGACCCAAACUAAAGACAAACAAAAUACCAAGACUAGACUUAAAUAAGA